UUGUUGUCUCCCUGUACCGCUUGAAGCUUCAAAUAAACUUUUCUACUUCUCUACCCCGUUGUGAUUAUUGGGCGACGCACACCGGGCAACGAAUCCAGCUGUUGCCUGGCUCAGGCUUUUGUGCCAGAAACAGUUUUUGGCGUCCCUGGGUGAGCGAGAGGCCACAACACAAGCCUUACCCGGAUCCCUUGCGGGGACUGGCGGGUGAGGACUCCAACCGACGCCCAGUGCACACCGGUGUGAUUCCCGGGGGCCUCGGAGGGGCAUAGCCCAACCAGCCCCAUAGGGCACAACUGUGCAACGCGCCUGAUAAGUGGAGAAGUGCUGCGGGCGACGGUGGGGAACCGGUCCUUCAGAUAAGGUAUACUAAAGACUCCCAGCCUCUUCCCUUGGACUCUCCCGUCCACUCCUUACAGCCUGGCGACUCUGUGCUUGUUCGCACCUGGAAAGACGAGCCUCUCCAG